AAAAAACAUGCGAUAAUCCAGGUCCAUGUCUCAAGAAAAUGGUCUUUCCAUGGUGCCACUGAAAAUGGUCCCUUGCAGCACAUCGACAUGGUCCUAUCAGAUUGCAAGGGUAAUAGUAUGUAUGCUGAAAUACCAGCAAAUCUUGCCGAAGAAAAGGGAGCACUCAUCGAAACAAAUCAGAUCUACGACAUCAGUCGUUUUAGAGUUACUGCAGCAAAAACAGCCUACAAACCCAUUGAUGGUGACAAGAUGAUACAAUUUACGAUUUACACAAUUAUCAAGCCUGCAAGUAACCCACCACCUACAUUUCCUUUAUAUAUCUAUCAAUUAACUCCAUUUGAUGAGAUUGAAUCUCAAAUUCAGCACAAG
rnacentral:misc_RNA from 1 species